UUACGGGAGGUGGUGUCGGAGGUUUGACCGGUGGUGUCGGUGGUUUGACUGGUGGUGUCGUGGGUGGUUUAACUGGUGGCGUUGGGGGUUUGUACGUAGGUGGUUGGACAGGUGGCGUCGUGGUUGGUGGUUUAACCGGCGACGUUGGGGGUUUGUACGUAGGUGGUUGGACCGGUGGAGUUGUGGUGGGUGGUUUAACCGGUGACGUUGGGGGUUUGUACGUAGGUGGUUGGACCGGCGGUGGUUUGAUAGGAACUGGAGGUUUGGUUGGUGUAACCGGAGUGGUGGGAGGUUUGAGCGGAGGUGUUACGGUGGGUGGUUUGAUCGGUGUAGUUGGAAGCGUGGGGGGCUUGUACGACGGCGGUUUGAUUGCCGGAGU
rnacentral:lncRNA from 1 species